AUUGAACGCUGGCGGCAGGCCUAACACAUGCAAGUCGAACGAGUGGCGGACGGGUGAGUGAUGUCUGGGAAACUGCCUGAUGGAGGGGGAUAACUACUGGAAAAGGUAGCUAAUACCGCAAAACAUCGGCUGUGCCCAGAUGGGAUUAGCUAGUAGGUGGGGUAAAGGCUCACGUAGGCGACGAUCCCUAGCUGGUCUGAGAGGAUGACCAGCCACACUGGAACUGAGACACGGUCCAGACUCCUACGGGAGGCAGCAGUGGGGAAUAUUGCGCAAUGGGCGCAAGCCUGAUGCAGCCAUGCCGCGUGUAUGAAGAAGGCUUUCGGGUUGUAAAGUACUUUCAGCGGGGAGGCGUUACCCGCAGAAGAAGCACCGGCUAACUCCGUGCCAGCCGCCGCGGUAAUUC
rnacentral:rRNA from 1 species